AUACAAACCCAACAGGGAGAUACCGUGACCACAAAGGCAGUUUGCCCAGGGGAGGCUUAUCUAUUGCACUUAUGUGUGCGGACCCUCGUGAUUUCCCAAAUGUGGGAGUCUCAACUGCAUAUUUGUGGCAGCAAGGGACUGCGUUUGUGUUUUCCCUGA